UACUGUUUAUGCUGGUGGUAGCAGCACUGACUACUCUCAGUCAGUCAGAGGCCGGUUUACCAUCUCCAGAGAAGACAGCAGACAGCAGCAUCCUUGUCUAUGCAAAGUGAACUUCCCUACAGUCAGCUAUAAAGACUUGACAUUGUGCUGUCAGUUGCAGAAGAAGAAGAGAAGCUGCCAUCACAUCACAAUUAAAACCAACCAUGUUCUCUGUAGCUCUGCUGCUGCUACUGGCAGCUGGAUCCUGUGUGAAGUGUCAGCAGUUGACACAACCAGCCUCUGUGACUGUGCAGCCAGGUCAACGUCUGACCAUCACCUGUCAGGUCUCUUAUUCUCUUAGCAGCUACGCUACAGCUUGGAUCAGACAGCCUGCAGGGAAAGGACUGGAGUUGAUUGGAUGGAAAUACACUGGAGAUUCAUACUACAAAGAUUCGCUAAAGAACAAGUUCAGUAUCGACUUAGACUCUUCCAGAAACACAGUGACUCUAAACGGACAGAAUGUGCAGCCUGAAGACACUGCUGUGUAUUAUUGUGCCAGAGACCCACAAUAA